rnacentral:rRNA from 1 species
UAUGGUGGCGAUGGCAGAGGGGAUACACCUGUACCCUUACCGAACACAGAAGUUAAGCCCUUUAGCGCCGAUGGUACUUGGCUGGUGACGGCCUGGGAGAGUAGGACGCUGCCAUAU